rnacentral:rRNA from 1 species
CAGUCGCCACGGGAAUACGUAGGUGGCAAGCGUUGUCCGGAAUUAUUGGGCGUAGAGGGCUCGCAGGCGGUUUCUUAAGUCUGAUGUGAAAGCCCCCGGCUCAACCGUGGAGGGUCAUUGGAAACUGGGAAACUUGAGUGCAGAAGAGGAGAGUGGAAUUCCACGUGUAGCGGUGAAAUGCGUAGAGAUGUGGAGGAACACCAGUGGCGAAGGCGACUCCCUGGUCUGUAACUGACGCUGAGGAGCGAAAGCGUGGGGAGCGAACAGGAUUAGAUACCCCUGUAGUCCCUGUCUCUUAUAC